rnacentral:rRNA from 1 species
GUGAGGAAUAUUGGACAAUGGGCGCAAGCCUGAUCCAGCGACGCCGCGUGAGUGAUGAAGGCCUUUGGGUCGUAAAGCUCUGUCAGCAGGGAAGAAAUGCUGAGUAGUUAAUAUCUGCUCAGUUUGACGGUACCUGCAGAGGAAGCACCGGCUAACUCCGUGCCAGCAGCCGCGGUAAUACGGAGGGUGCGAGCGUUAAUCGGAAUUACUGGGCGUAAAGGGCGCGUAGGCGGCCGAUCAAGUCAGAUGUGAAAGCCCGUGGCUUAACCAUGCGAAGUGCAUCUGAAACUGGUUGGCUUGAGUAUCGGAGGGGAAAGUGGAAUUCCCGGUGUAGAGGUGAAAUUCGUAGAUAUCGGGAGGAAUACCGGUGGCGAAGGCGACUUUCUGGACGAAUACUGACGCUGAGGCGCGAAAGCGUGGGGAGCAAACAGGAUUAGAAACCCCAGUAGUCC